rnacentral:rRNA from 1 species
UACGAAGGGGGCUAGCGUUGCUCGGAAUCAUUGGGCGUAAAGGGUGCGUAGGCGGUUUGGCAAGUCUUGUGUGAAAUCUUCGGGCUCAACCCGAAGCCUGCAUAAGAAACUGCCGGGCUUGAGUAUGGGAGAGGUGAGUGGAAUUUCCGGUGUAGCGGUGAAAUGCGUAGAUAUCGGAAGGAACACCUGUGGCGAAAGCGGCUCACUGGACCAUAACUGACGCUGAGGCACGAAAGCUAGGGGAGCAAACAGG